rnacentral:rRNA from 1 species
UACGUAGGGUGCAAGCGUUGUCCGGAAUUAUUGGGCGUAAAGAGCUCGUAGGCGGUCUGUUGCGUCGGCUGUGAAAACCUGGGGCUCAACUCCGGGCCUGCAGCCGAUACGGGCUGACUAGAAUUCGGUAGGGGAGACUGGAAUUCCUGGUGUAGCGGUGAAAUGCGCAGAUAUCAGGAGGAACACCGGUGGCGAAGGCGGGUCUCUGGGCCGAUAUUGACGCUGAGGAGCGAAAGCGUGGGGAGCGAACAGG